UACGGGGGGAGCAAGCGUUGUUCGGAUUUACUGGGCGUAAAGGGCGCGUAGGCGGCCUCCGCAAGUCAAUUGUGAAAUCUCCGGGCUUAACUCGGAAAGGUCAACUGAUACUGCGGGGCUAGAGUGCGGAAGGGGCAACUGGAAUUCUUGGUGUAGCGGUGAAAUGCGUAGAUAUCAAGAGGAACACCUGCGGCGAAGGCGGGUUGCUGGGCCGACACUGACGCUGAGGCGCGAAAGCUAGGGGAGCGAACGG
rnacentral:rRNA from 1 species